GAUGAACGCUGGCGGCGCGCCUAACACAUGCAAGUCGAACGAUUAAAGCACCUUUGGGAGCGUAUACAGUGGCGAACGGCGGAGUAACACCUGAGCAACCUGCAACUUUCAUUGAGCUAGCCACGUAAAACGGUGGAUCAUACCGAAAACUUCGAUACUUCCGCAUGACAUACCCGAGAAACAUCCGGCGGCGAGGGAUGGGCCCGCGGCCUGUUAGAUUGUUGGUGCGGUAACGGCAUACCAAGGCAAUGCUGGGUAGCUGGGUUGAGAGGCGGACCAGCCAGAUUGGGACUGAGAUGCGGCCCGGACUCCUACGGGAGGCAGCAGAGGAGAGUCGAAUACUGUGGGAGAAAGCCUGAUGCAGCGACGCGGCGUGGGGGAUGAAGGCCUUCGGGUUGUAAACCGCAUCCAGCAGGGACGAGGCGAAAGUGACGGUACCUGCAGAAGAAGCCCCGGCUAAAUACGUG
rnacentral:rRNA from 1 species